rnacentral:rRNA from 1 species
GGGGACAACAGUUGGAAACGACUGCUAAUACCGCAUGACACAUUGGGGUCGCAUGGCCUCGAUGUCAAAGAUUUAUCGCUUCAAGAUGGCCUCGCGUCUGAUUAGCUGGUUGGCGGGGUAACGGCCCACCAAGGCGACGAUCAGUAGCCGGACUGAGAGGUUGAACGGCCACAUUGGGACUGAGAUACGGCCCAGACUCCUACGGGAGGCAGCAGUGGGGAAUAUUGGGCAAUGGGCGCAAGCCUGACCCAACAACGCCGCGUGAAGGAAGAAGGCUUUCGGGUUGUAAACUUCUUUUAAGAGGGAAGAGGAGAAGACGGUACCUCUAGAAUAAGCCACGGCUAACUACGUGCCAGCAGCCGCGGUAAUACGUAGGUGGCAAGCGUUGUCCGGAUUUACUGGGUGUAAAGGGCGUGCAGCCGGGUCUGCAAGUCAGAUGUGAAAUCCAUGGGCUCAACCCAUGAACUGCAUUUGAAACUGUAGAUCUUGAGUGUCGGAGGGGCAAUCGGAAUUCCUAGUGUAGCGGUGAAAAUGCGUAGAUAUUGGGAGGAACACCAGUGGCGAAGGCGGAUUGCUGGACGAUAACUGACGGUGAGGCGCGAAAGUGUGGGGAGCAAACAGGAU